GAUGAACGCUGGCGGCGUGCCUAAUACAUGCCAGUCGAGCGAACGGACGAGAAGCUUGCUUUUCUGAUGUUAGCGGCGGACGGGUGAGUAACACGUGGAUAACCUACCUAUAAGACUGGGAUAACUUCGGGAAACCGGAGCUAAUACCGGAUAAUAUUUUGAACCGCAUGGUUCAAAAGUGAAAGACGGUCUUGCUGUCACUUAUAGAUGGAUCCGCGCUGCAUUAGCUAGUUGGUAAGGUAACGACUUACCAAGGCAACGAUGCAUAGCCGACCUGAGAGGGUGAUCGGCCACACUGGAACUGAGACACGGUCCAGACUCCUACGGGAGGCAGCAGUAGGGAAUCUUCCGCAAUGGGCGAAAGCCUGACGGAGCAACGCCGCGUGAGUGAUGAAGGUCUUCGGAUCGUAAAACUCUGUUAUUAGGGAAGAACAUAUGUGUAAGUAACUGUGCGCAUCUUGACGGUACCUAAUCAGAAAGCCACGGCUAACUACGUG
rnacentral:rRNA from 1 species